AGAACGAACGCUGGCGGCAUGCCUAACACAUGCAAGUCGAACGCUUCCGGGGCUUCGGUCGCGGAGGAGUGGCGCACGGGUGAGUAGCGCGUGGGAACCUGCCCUGUUGUGGGGGAUAACCGAGGGAAACUUCGGCUAAUACCGCAUACGCCCCGGGACUUGGUCUUCGGAUUAGGUCUGGGGGGAAAGAUUGAUCGCAGCAGGAGGGGCCCGCGUCGGAUUAGCUGGUUGGUGGGGUAACGGCUCACCAAGGCGAUGAUCCGUAGCUGGUCUGAGAGGAUGAUCAGCCACACUGGGACUGAGACACGGCCCAGACUCCUACGGGAGGCAGCAGUGGGGAAUAUUGGACAAUGGGGGCAACCCUGAUCCAGCAAUGCCGCGUGAGUGAUGAAGGCCUUAGGGUUGUAAAGCUCUUUCGCCCGCGACGAUGAUGACGGUAGCGGGAGAAGAGCCCGGCUAACGUUCGCGCCAGCAGCCGCGGU
rnacentral:rRNA from 1 species